UUUUGUUACUGUCCUAGUUUCGACCUAGGCUUAGGUUUUAACCAGCAAAAU
rnacentral:tRNA from 1 species